GGUCAAAUGUUGCAAGAUGUUCAACGUGUUCUCGAAGUACUUAUCUGGACGGAUCACGACCUGCGAGUGUCACCAGAAUUUAGGCAUCGUCGGACAAGACACCGGGGCCUUUAAUUUGCAAAAGUCCAAUCGUCUGCCUGUCAUCGUGACCUAUAUUCAACUAUUAUAAGCCUAUGUCCAUCGUCUACUGUGACAAGAGUUCAUUACCAAUAUAUGUACAUGUUUGAAAUCUUAGAACGGACCGACUGAGACGUCCGUAAUGACAGGACAGGAAAACGAUUAAAUUUUGGUCGAAUGGCGAUAACACUCGGAUCAAGGACAGAGCUUCGAUCGAAAUCGGGAGCACCGUUUUCAACGAUGGUGCGCGCACCGUGCGCCCGUGAAGAAGAGGACCGACUGAAGCUAUUGUGAAGCUCCGAUCUCGGCACGAAUGUUAAUGUAAUAUCGCGCGUACGGUCAAAUUAGUCCUAGCGACAUUUGUACGGGGAGUAAUUUUCAUAUGUAACGUCGGCGGUCAACGCCAAUGGCGAUGGGAACAACAAUCGAGGCGGAGCUCUGUACGUGCACGCACACCGCGAGAGGCAUUUUACGCGCUCCUUACGUCCAGUUACUCGUCAAUCGACCCUAAUAACUUGCAGUUAUCGUUCAAUAACGCGUCGCGCUGUUUUACAUUCUACACGUGACCUGGCCGUUAUUAAGUCUUUUCUCAUCGCCAGCACUGAUUGCCAUUUUAAGAUGAACGUAGGAACUUCAAAAGACGAACGGAGCGACCGGUAGUUCCGAUUUUUCCUUCGUUGCACACCGCGCCAAUUGUCGUUCCACCGCGUCAAACGCAUUUUCAAGCUCCUUUUUGCGAAAAUAGUUCCGAGAUUUGUUCAAGCAUGGUAGAGAAGACGCUGAGUCUUUGUCCGGUAAAAAAGAGUAUUUUUCGAUGCAAAUGUUGAAAGUCAAUCGUCAGCUGCUAAGCUUUUCUUUGCUUUUCCGUUAGUUCGUUCUUUUUCCAAUUUAAAAUUCAAUUUCCAUGGACUUAUGACCCAAGGAAUAUUUAACGUAGCACCGAUCCGAUUGAUAUCGAUUAUUUUAGAAAAGAAAUUACAUUGUAGAAGAUUUUUCUUGCUGUAAAUGAACUCACUGUAAAUUUGUGGCU